rnacentral:tRNA from 2 species
GUCAGGAUGGCCGAGCGGUCUAAGGCGCUGCGUUCAGGUCGCAGUCUCCCCUGGAGGCGUGGGUUCAAAUCCCAUUUCUGACA